AGUGAACGCUGGCGGCAGGCCUAACACAUGCAAGUCGAACGGCAGCACAGAGGAGCUUGCUCCUUGGGUGGCGAGUGGCGGACGGGUGAGGAAUACAUGGGAAUCUGCCCAAUCGUGGGGGACAACGUAGGGAAACUUACGCUAAUACCGCAUACGACCUACGGGUGAAAGCGGCGGACCGCAAGGCGUCGCGCGAUUGGAUGAGCCCAUGUCGGAUUAGCUAGUUGGCGGGGUAAAGGCCCACCAAGGCGACGAUCCGUAGCUGGUCUGCGGGGAUGAUCCGCCCCACUGGAACUGAGACACGGUCCAGACUCCUGCGGGAGGCAGCAGUGGGGAAUAUUGGACAAUGGGGGCAAGGCUGCUCCAGCCAUGCCGCGUGAUUGAAGAAGGCCCUCGGUGUGUAAAGCUCUUUUGUCCGGAAAGAAAAGCUUUCGGUUAAUAACCGGAAGUCCUGACGGUACCGGAAUAAUAAGCACCGGCUAGCUUCGUGCCAGCCGCCGCGGUAAAAC
rnacentral:rRNA from 1 species